AGGCCAUUGGUACCACCUUCACCUAUUCCAGAAAUCAGUCCAACUCAGCCAGGUGAUCCAAUUAGACCCAUAGCUGAACCAACAAGUCCUGGACUUCCUCCUGUGGCUGAACUUCCUACACCAAGACCAACAUUGCCUCCAGUGACUCAGCCACCUCCACCACCCACACCUGGUCCCCUACCUGUAGGAUGUGAAACUUCUGAUGAAUGUCCAUCUGAUAACUCCUGCGUAAACAGACUCUGUCUUGAUGUUUGUUAUCCAGGCCUUUGUGGAGAAAGUGCUGAUUGCCAGACUCAAGGAAAUCGUCCAUUA